UCGAACGUGAACCCGGAGCUUGCUCCUGUGGAAAGUGGCAGACGGGUGAGUAACGCGUGGGNUUUUACCCANUGGUUCGGGAUAACUUCAGGAAACCGGAGCUAAUACCGAAUACGCCCUUCNGGGGAAAGAUUUAUCGCCAUUGGAUGAGCCCGCGUCGGAUUAGCUUGUUGGUGAGGUAAAAGCUCACCAAGGCGACGAUCCGUAGCUGGUCUGANAGGAUGAUCAGCCACACUGGGACUGANACACGGCCCANACUCCUACGGGAGGCAGCAUUGGGGAAUAUUGCGCNAUGGAGGAAACUCUGACGCAGCCAUGCCGCGUGAGUGAAGAAGGCCUUANGGUUGUAAAACUCUUUCGCUNGGAAGAUAAUGACNGUACCUAGUGAAGAAGCCCCGGCCAACUCCGUGCCAGCAGCCGCGGUAAUACCGAGGGGGCUAGCGCUGUUUCUGAAUUACUGGGCGUAAA
rnacentral:rRNA from 2 species